rnacentral:rRNA from 1 species
AUUGAACGCUGGCGGCAGGCCUAACACAUGCAAGUCGAACGAGUGGCGGACGGGUGAGUAAUGUCUGGGAAACUGCCUGAUGGAGGGGGAUAACUACUGGAAACGGUAGCUAAUACCGCAUACCAUCAGAUGUGCCCAGAUGGGAUUAGCUAGUUGGUGGGGUAACGGCUCACCAAGGCGACGAUCCCUAGCUGGUCUGAGAGGAUGACCAGCAACACGGGAACUGAGACACGGUCCAGAGCCAGACGGGAGGGAGCAGGGGGGAAUAUGGAACAAGGGGCGCAAGCCUGAUGGAGCCAGGCCGCGGGUAUGAAGAAGGCCUGCGGGUUGUAAAGUACUUUCAGCGGGGAGGCGUUACCCGCAGAAGAGGCACCGGCUAACUCCGUGCCAGCAGCCGCGGUAAUU